rnacentral:tRNA from 1 species
GCGGCUGUGGUCCAGUGGUAAGAUCCCAGCCCCCCAAGCUGGUGACCCGGGUCCGAUCCCCGGCAGCCGCA